AGAGUUUGAUUAUGGCUCAGGAUGAACGCUAGCGAUAGGCCUAACACAUGCAAGUCGAGGGGCAGCACAUGAAGUAGCAAUACGGAUGGUGGCGACCGGCGCACGGGUGAGUAACGCGUAUGCAACCUGCCUACAACAGGGGAAUAACCCGUUGAAAGACGGACUAAUACCCCAUAACACAGGGAUCCCGCAUGGGAAUAUUUGUUAAAGAUUUAUCGGUUGUAGAUGGGCAUGCGUUCCAUUAGCUGGUUGGUGAGGUAACGGCUCACCAAGGCAACGAUGGAUAGGGGAACUGAGAGGUUUAUCCCCCACACUGGUACUGAGACACGGACCAGACUCCUACGGGAGGCAGCAGUGAGGAAUAUUGGUCAAUGGACGCAAGUCUGAACCAGCCACGUCGCGUGAAGGAAGACGGCCCUGGGUUGUAAACUUCUUUUGUAAGGGAAUAAAGUGUAGUACGUGUACUAUUUUGCAUGUACCUUACGAAUAAGGAUCGGCUAACUCCGUGCCAGCAGCCGCGGUAAUACGGAGGAUCCGAGCGUUAUCCGGAUUUAUUGGGUUUAAAGGGUGCGCAGGCGGGAGAUUAAGUCGGCGGUGAAAUUUUGCAGCUCAACUGUAAAAGUGCCUUCGAAACUGGUUUCCUUGAGUGUGGAUGAAGUAGGCGGAAUUUGUGGUGUAGCGGUGAAAUGCAUAGAUAUCACGAGGAACUCCGAUUGCGCAGGCAGCUUACUAAACCAUAACUGACGCUCAGGCACGAAGGCGUGGGGAUCAAACAGGAUUAGAUACCCUGGUAGUC
rnacentral:rRNA from 1 species